rfam:Scleropages formosus scaffold26055, whole genome shotgun sequence.
GCUUACGACCAUAACACCCUGAAUACGCCUGAUCUCGGAAACUAGGCAGAGCUGGGCCUCGUGAGCACUUGGAUGGGAGAGCACCUGGGAAUGCCAGGUGCUGUAAGCA